GACGAACGCUGUCGGCGCGCCUAACACAUGCAAGUCGAACGAGAGAGAAGAAGCUUGCUUCUUCGAUCGAGUGGCGAACGGGUGAGUAACGCGUGAGGAACCUGCCUCAAAGAGGGGGACAACAGUUGGAAACGACUGCUAAUACCGCAUAAGCCCACGGGUCGGCAUCGACCUGAGGGAAAAGGAGCAAUCCGCUUUGAGAUGGCCUCGCGUCCGAUUAGCUAGUUGGUGAGGUAACGGCCCACCAAGGCGACGAUCGGUAGCCGGACUGAGAGGUUGAACGGCCACAUUGGGACUGAGACACGGCCCAGACUCCUACGGGAGGCAGCAGUGGGGAAUAUUGCACAAUGGGGGAAACCCUGAUGCAGCGACGCCGCGUGGAGGAAGAAGGUCUUCGGAUUGUAAACUCCUGUUGUUGAGGAAGAUAAUGACGGUACUCAACAAGGAAGUGACGGCUAACUACGUGCCAGCAGCCGCGGUAAAACGUAGGUCACAAGCGUUGUCCGGAAUUACUGGGUGUAAAGGGAGCGCAGGCGGGAAGACAAGUUGGAAGUGAAAUCUAUGGGCUCAACCCAUAAACUGCUUUCAAAACUGUUUUUCUUGAGUAGUGCAGAGGUAGGCGGAAUUCCCGGUGUAGCGGUGGAAUGCGUAGAUAUCGGGAGGAACACCAGUGGCGAAGGCGGCCUACUGGGCACCAACUGACGCUGAGGCUCGAAAGUGUGGGUAGCAAACAGGAUUAGAUACCCUGGUAGUCCACACCGUAAACGAUGAUUACUAGGUGUUGGAGGAUUGACCCCUUCAGUGCCGCAGUUAACACAAUAAGUAAUCCACCUGGGGGAGUACGACC
rnacentral:rRNA from 1 species